rnacentral:lncRNA from 1 species
CCCGCCAUCUGGUCUAACAAGCACUCCAGGUGAUUCUGAUGAAGACUAAGGUUUGCUUACCACUGAUUUCUGCAGUGGACUUGCUGGUUUACGCCCUGGGUCUCUCGCCAUAGUAGAAAAGAGAAUUGGAGAGAUAUGGCUGGACAGAGAGAGAGCAGCAAUGGCAAAGAAGGCACUCUUAAUGGUAAGCUGUUUUGUUCAGCCACGGAGUGUGUUUUCUGCUGCAGCAACGUGUUUUAUCGAUGGAUUUCAAACAUGCAGGCCUUUGUUAUGGAGGACACUCUGGGUAUAUUUCAAAGUGGUUACUUUCUCGCUCAUCCUGCCAGAAACAUGAGGGAAAUUUUCCUUCAUCUUCAUCAAAAGAACAUGAUGGGGUUGCUGCAGUGAAAGCCAAUGAAAAUGUGAAUAAGAUUGGACCCCAGGAGUUUAUUUUGCUCAUGCUAGUCGACACAAAUCCUCUAACAAUUCAUCAAUAUGACCAUUUAAUUGUUCUUAUCAGUUUAUGGUUCAAGUGUCUUUUGAUCCAGAUUAGCUCAUCUCAGCUGCGAUCUUCUGUAUUUACCUGUCUCUUCAGAUUUCACUGUCGUGGUUUGUCCUGUGACUUCAAUUCUCUGAUGGGUCUAAGAAUGUCAUUGAUUUUAAGUUUUCUCAGCUUUUUUCCUGUUCUAAGAAUAGGAGUGACAACUUCUAAGCUCUUUAAAUGAUGGAACUGAAACUAGACAUUCUAAUAAUACUAAUAUGAAUUUAUAUAAUUCAAUGUUAUUUUACAGGGUAUAUACAAGUUUAUGACUGCCAUCUUUUUGGCAAUGUCCAUGUAUAUCCAUAAUAAUGCCUU